ACCAAUUCUGGAGGAUACUGUUCCUCACGGUAUAAUGGCUUGGAUGCUAGAUGGUAUUCAUUGAUGUGUGGUCAUAUCCUGAGUGUUGGUGUUCUUGGUUCCAUUCUAAUCCUGAAAACGCCACAUAAAUUU
rfam:Oryza punctata chromosome 3, whole genome shotgun sequence.